AGUGAACGCUGGCGGUAGGCCUAACACAUGCAAGUCGAACGGCAGCACAGUAAGAGCUUGCUCUUACGGGUGGCGAGUGGCGGACGGGUGAGGAAUACAUCGGAAUCUACUUUUUCGUGGGGGAUAACGUAGGGAAACUUACGCUAAUACAGCAUACGACCUACGGGUGAAAGCAGGGGAUCUUCGGACCUUGCGCGAUUGAAUGAGCCGAUGUCGGAUUAGCUAGUUGGCGGGGUAAAGGCCCACCAAGGCGACGAUCCGUAGCUGGUCUGAGAGGAUGGUCAGCCACACUGGAACUGAGACACGGUCCAGACUCCUACGGGAGGCAGCAGUGGGGAAUAUUGGACAAUGGGCGCAAGCCUGAUCCAGCCAUACCGCGUGGGUGAAGAAGGCCUUCGGGUUGUAAAGCCCUUUUGUUGGGAAAGAAAAGCGGCAGGUUAAUACCCCGCUGUUCUGACGGUACCCAAAGAAUAAGCACCGGCUAACUUCGUG
rnacentral:rRNA from 1 species